CCCUUAGAUGUCCUGGGCCGCACGCGCGUUACACUGAUGCAUUCAACGAGCUUAUAACCUUGGCCGAGAGGCCUGGGCAAUCUUGUUAACGUGCAUCGUGAUAGGGAUAGAUUAUUGAAAUUAUUAAUCAUGAACGAGGAAUUCCUAGUAAACGCAGAUCAUCAAUCUGCAUUGAUUACGUCCCUGCCCUUUGUACACACCGCCCGUCGCACCUACCGAUUGGAUGGUCCGGUGAAGCCUCGGGAUUGUGGUUCUUGCCGCUUUAUUGUGGCGUGACCGCGAGAACUUGUCUAAACCUUAUCAUCUAGAGGAAGGUGAAGUCGUAACA
rnacentral:rRNA from 1 species